UUCCAGCCGAAGAGUCCCAAAUAGGACGAAACGCUCGUCCUGGAU
rnacentral:hammerhead_ribozyme from 1 species